GUCGUUUUGGUGAUGACCAAGUGAUGAGUAGGCAGAAUCAAAACUACGUAGUUUCAAGCCUAAGGUUAAAAUACAAACCCCUCCCUUAAACGACUUUGUUUCAGGCAAAAAUCUAAAAUAAAAAAUAGAACCACGAAGAAGGCAGACCUUCAGCUCGGAGAACCCAGACGGCCAGACCUCCCUAACCCAUCUCCUCCACUUGUGUGAACCCAUCAGCCUGACCGAUCAGGUCUAAGGAGGCAGCCACGGCGACCGCUACAGUGACAGUAAUCGCCCCUACCGUGCAGUUGAUCUUCACUUCACGACAGACUAAAUCAACAGCUGAGAAGCUGAGGGAGCAUAUUUUAGAAGCAUUUGAGGUCGUUCUGUGUUCCCCAAUGAUAACUGAAAUUAGAUGUGAAACAAAGAAAGAUUCAGGAUCAGGUGUACAUGUGCCUCUUAUCUCUUCCAAACUGACAAUCUUGAAAUGGGAGCAGUUGCUUCUCUGAGGGAACUCAAAUUGUAGAAGUUGAUUUGUUGUUGUGGUGGUCAUUUUAGUUUGUUUAGUGAAAGCAAAAGGCCAAGGAAAGAACGUGUACUUAGAAUAGGUGAAUUGUAGUUUAUUCAUUGUGAAAGAUUGUAGUGACAAUUGUUUUGAAAGAGUAUUUAGUUUCUUAUCUUGUUUAGGUAAAGACAAUUGUAAUGGCCAUUCGUUUUAUUAUGUUAUGGAAACUAAAAUGCAUUUUUUGCAAUGGAAAUUGACACUUAGUUUUGUCCCUUA